rnacentral:ncRNA from 1 species
ACGGUGCUUCUAUAGUUAAACGGGAAAUUGGUCAAAUUCCAAUGCUUUCCCCAAAACAGUAGCGAAGCUAGAACUCAUUAUCCACUGAAAUUAAUUUUGGGAAGGUUGAGUUUCUUACGAUUUUGUUAAAUCGAUCUUCGAAGCCUGGAUACCGGCCGUUUUGUA